rnacentral:rRNA from 1 species
CGGGGUGCAGCAGGCGCGAAAACUUCGCAAUGCACGAAAGUGCGACGAGGCUACUUCGAGUGCCGUCCGCUGAGGAUGGCUUUUGCCAAGUCUAAAUAGCUUGGAGAAUAAGGGGAGGGCAAGUCUGGUGUCAGCCGCCGCGGUAAUACCAGCUCCCCGAGUGGUCGGGAUGAUUAUUGGGCCUAAAGCAUCCGUAGCCGGUUCCGUGGGUCUCCUGUUAAAUUCAACGGCUCAACCGUUGAGCUGCAGGAGAUACCGCGGGGCUAGGAGGCGGGAGAGGCGGACGGUACUCCGUGGGUAGGGGUAAAAUCCUCUGAUCCUCGGAAGACCACCAGUGGCGAAGGCGGUCCGCCAGAACGCGCUCGACGGUGAGGGAUGAAAGCUGGGGGAGCGAACCGGAUUAGAUACCCGGGUAGUCCCAGCUGUAAACGAUGCGAGCUAGGUGAUAGAAUGAUUUCGUAUCAUUCUAGUGCCGCAGGGAAGCCGUUAAGCUCGCCGCCUGGGGAGUACGGUCGCAAGACUGAAACUUAAAGGAAUUGGC